AGUUGUUCUUAGUGCUGCGCGUCCAUGGAGGGGGACGUUUGUCUUUCUUCGAGGUAGUUUGGGUUUGCCGCCUCAUUUCCAAGUCGAUUGUCUGAGCGUGUUUUGGUGAUCUGCGCGAUAGUUUAGUCUUCAAGUGUGGCUGUGUUGGUGUGUUUUAGAACAGCAAUGGGUAUUCAAAAACCGCUGAAUUGAUUCAUCAGUUUAGUCUUAGGUCGAUUGUAUGUUUUAACAAUUGCGCCGCGUCGGUUUCGAAGAGGAUAGGUAAAUGGAGAAGAUGGAAGUAAAGGCUGAGUUUUCUGCUAUUUGAGUUUGUUUGUUUGCUGGUGUGACCAUUUUCUCAAAUUUCUCAUCCAGUUUUAGGUUACUGGACUGAUAGAAACUAAUGAAGCCUGCAGCUAGAAACAUACGAUGCAGUUGUGGUGGUGCUGGACUAAUGAUGAUAUGGAUUUCACUUAAGUUUUCCGAAAUUGUCUUGGAUGAGAUUCAAUAACAAACUGGCUAUAAAACAA